UUAGGUUAAGCUAGAAAGGGCGCACGGUGAAUGCCUUGGCACUAGGAGCCGAAGAAGGACGCGACGAACAGCGAAAUGCCUCGGKGAGCUGUAAGUAAGCUUUGAUCCGGGGAUAUCCGAAUGGGGGAACCCACCAUYCGUAAUGGGAUGGUACCCAUACCUGAAUMYAUAGGGURUGAGGAGGCAGACCUGGGGAACUGAAACAUCUAAGUACCCAGAGGAAGAGAAAGCAAAUGCGAUUUCCUGAGUAGCGGCGAGCGAAACGGAAUUAGCCCAAACCAAGAGGCUUGCCUCUUGGGGUUGUAGGACGUCUCACAUGGAGUAAGAAAAGACGAUCAUAGGCGAAGCGGUCUGGAAAGCCCCGUCAGAGAAGGUAACAACC
rnacentral:rRNA from 2 species